rnacentral:rRNA from 1 species
UACAGAGGUCUCAAGCGUUGUUCGGAUUCAUUGGGCGUAAAGGGUGCGUAGGCGGCGCGGUAAGUCGGAUGUGAAAUCUCGGGGCUUAACUCCGAAACUGCAUUCGAUACUACCGUGCUUGAGGACUGGAGAGGAGACUGGAAUUUACGGUGUAGCGGUGAAAUGCGUAGAUAUCGUAAGGAAGACCAGUGGCGAAGGCGGGUCUCUGGACAGUUCCUGACGCUGAGGCACGAAGGUCAGGGGAGCAAACGGG